rnacentral:sRNA from 1 species
UCCCCGGAUAGGCUUCGACUGAUCAUCGUGGCCGAAAAGGUGGCACUCCUACCACUCUGCCGGGGUUUCUUUAUGGAGAG